GUCCAAUUGUGACACUUAAGGCAUGUUCCUGUGUACUAGAAGAGAAUAGCGAUAUAAGAAAGCAACAAUGGUUCGCUUGUUUUUGUCGGAGCCUAACUGGAAAGAAGAUAGAGGAGGUGGAGAUAGUGGGGUUUCCAAGCAAUGGAUAUUGCUUUUGAACCAAUUGGAAUCCGUUAUCUGGUCGUUGAUGACUUCUGGGGGUCGAGCAGAAGCUCGUUUAUGGCUAUGCAAUACAAUAGCAGGC
rnacentral:misc_RNA from 1 species